rnacentral:rRNA from 1 species
GUGAAGAAGUAUCUCGGUACGUAAAGCUCUAUCAGCAGGGAAGAAAAUGACGGUACCUGACUAAGAAGCCCCGGCUAACUACGUGCCAGCAGCCGCGGUAAUACGUAGGGGGCAAGCGUUAUCCGGAUUUACUGGGUGUAAAGGGAGCGUAGACGGCGACGCAAGUCUGGAGUGAAAGCCCGGGGCCCAACCCCGGGGCUGCUUUGGAAACUGUGCUGCUGGAGUGCAGGAGAGGUAAGUGGAAUUCCUAGUGUAGCGGUGAAAUGCGUAGAUAUUAGGAGGAACACCAGUGGCGAAGGCGGCUUACUGGACUGUAACUGACGUUGAGGCUCGAAAGCGUGGGGAGCAAACAGGAUUAGAUACCCUGGUAGUCCACGCCGUAAACGAUGAGUGCUAGGUGUCGGGGGGCAAAGCCCUUCG